UUUUAGUUAUAUAUUUUAACGAAUAUUUAAUAUAUUUAAUGUAUAUUUAAACAUAAAUUACGGAUUUUAGAAACGAAUAUGUAAUUGAAAUGUAAUUACUUUAUUUCAUUUGGAAUACUUUUAAAUGGUUUAAGAAAUCAAAAUGUAUUUUCGAGUUUUACUUUAAAACGAGUUCGAAUUGCAAAACCACGUUCUAUUGAAAUUAGAAAACAAGUCCUAACCCAUGGUGGAUUCAUCAACCUAAAUCCUACUCCUAGCCCAAUUGGGCAAAGCCCAAACAAAAAAAUAAAACCCUUCUCUUCUCUAUUCUUCACGUGAAAACCAAAAAAAAAAAAAAAGAGAGAAAGCCCUCACGCAACUCAGCUCUCCUUCCCUCCCGCUGCUCGCCGCCCAGCCGACCACCAUCAACGCAACCAGUGACUCAAGGCCGACCACCGCACGCGACCGUGCUCAGCCCUGCCGCGAGCCACCGCUGUCCGCCGGCCAGCCCCCCUUAAACUCUUGAAUUGGCGGAGAAUUCUCUUUAGGCGACUUUUGAAAGUGUUAAGGUGGCCUAUCAGUUUGUUUACACAAGUCUCUAAGGAUCAAUAAGCAUUGCCCAUCUACAGGUUUGAAGAUGAUGCAUCAUUGGGAUCGGGAUUAGAGAGCUUGUAGUUCUGUUUGUUUAAUCAAGUGAUUCAAUUUGUUAACUUGGAUUUGAAACUUGUCGCACCAUUCGUAUUUCCUUAUUUCAGUUAAUUGUUUUGGACCUAAUAUGUAAUAGAUUAAUUAUGAACCCAAAAGUUAGUUUUAUGUUUUCCGCUGCAAAAUUCUGAAUAAGCCGUACGUUUUUACACGGGCGAUAAUACUUUGAUAAUUCCCUUCAGUUAUAUUUUAAAAGGGGUUGUUUUAGAAAAUGGGAAUUGUCGGGGUGUUACACAAAAUAUGAUCUUUUUCUGGUCAUUGCUUGUCGCAUAUGUAAUUGCUUACUUAUGUUUAAAUUUGGAUCUCUUUAGUUGAGCCAUAAUUUUAUUUUUGUGUAUUCCUCUAUUUAUAUGAAGUUAGGUCCCACUUUAGGUCGUGGUACAAUUGGUUUAAACAUCAAAUAAUUUAAUUCUUUUUUCUAGUUCUGAAAUUUGCAGUGAACUUACUUUUUUUUUUUUUACAGAGUGCGGUGAACUUACUUAUUGAACUG